GUCUCCGUGGUCUAGUGGUAAAGGCAUUGGCUUUCUAAGCCUGUAACCUGUGUUAGAUUCCCGGCGGAGACG
rnacentral:tRNA from 1 species